rnacentral:rRNA from 1 species
GAUGAACGCUAGCUACAGGCUUAACACAUGCCAGUCGAGGGGAAACGGCAUCGAAAGCUUGCUUUUGAUGGGCGUCGACCGGCGCACGGGUGAGUAACGCGUACCCAACCUGCCCAUCACUUGGGAAUAACCUUGCGAAAGUAAGACUAAUGCCCAAUGACAUCCCACGAAGGCAUCCGAAUGGGAUUAAAGAUUUAUCGGUGAUGGAUGGGGAUGCGUCUGAUUAGCUUGUUGGCGGGGUGACGGCCCACCAAGGCAACGAUCAGUAGGGGUUCUGAGAGGAAGGUCCCCCACAUUGGAACUGAGACACGGUCCAAACUCCUACGGGAGGCAGCAGUGAGGAAUAUUGGUCAAUGGGCGAGAGCCUGAACCAGCCAAGUAGCGUGCAGGAUGACGGCCCUAUGGGUUGUAAACUGCUUUUAUAAGGGAAUAAAGUGGGUCACGUGUGACUUUUUGCAUGUACCUUAUGAAUAAGGACCGGCUAAUUCCGUG